rnacentral:rRNA from 1 species
CGCGUAGGCGGGAUGGCAAGUCGGUCGUGAAAUCCUUCGGCUCAACCGAAGAACGUCGAUCGAUACUGCUGUUCUUGAGGGUUGCAGAGGAGACUGGAAUUCCCGGUGUAGCGGUGAAACGUGUAGAGAUCGGGAGGAACACCGGUGGCGAAGGCGGGUCUCUGGGCAAUUCCUGACGCUGAGGCGCGAAAGCGUGGGGAGCAAACGGGAUUAGAUACCCCGGUAGUCCACGCUGUAAACGAUGACGACUAGGUGUGGGGGGGUUCAGUCCCCUCCGUGCCGCAGCUAACGCAUUAAGUCGUCCGCCUGGGGAGUACGGCCGCAAGGUUGAA